rnacentral:rRNA from 1 species
GAUGAACGCUGGCGGCGUGCUUAACACAUGCAAGUCGAACGGGAUCGGCUGGAGCUUGCUCCGGCCGUGAGAGUGGCGAACGGGUGAGUAAUGCGUGACCGACCUGCCCCAUACACCGGAAUAGCUCCUGGAAACGGGUGGUAAUGCCGGAUGCUCCAGUCCGAUCGCAUGGUGGUCUGGGAAAGAUUUUAUCGGUAUGGGAUGGGGUCGCGUCCUAUCAGGUAGUCGGCGGGGUAACGGCCCACCGAGCCUACGACGGGUAGCCGGCCUGAGAGGGCGACCGGCCACAUUGGGACUGAGAUACGGCCCAGACUCCUACGGGAGGCAGCAGUGGGGAAUAUUGCACAAUGGGCGCAAGCCUGAUGCAGCGACGCCGCGUGCGGGAUGACGGCCUUCGGGUUGUAAACCGCUUUUGAUGGGGAGCAAGCCUUCGGGUGAGUGUACCCUUCGAAUAAGCACCGGCUAACUACGUGCCAGCAGCCGCGGUAAUACGUAGGGUGCAAGCGUUAUCCGGAAUUAUUGGGCGUAAAGAGCUCGUAGGCGGUUCGUCGCGUCCGGUGUGAAAGUCCAUCGCUUAACGGUGGAUCUGCGCCGGGUACGGGCGGGCUGGAGUGCGGUAGGGGAGACUGGAAUUCCCGGUGUAACGGUGGAAUGUGUAGAUAUCGGGAAGAACACCAAUGGCGAAGGCAGGUCUCUGGGCCGUUACUGACGCUGAGGAGCGAAAGCGUGGGGAGCGAACAGGAUUAGAUACCCUGGUAGUCCACGCGGUAAACGGUGGAUGCUGGAUGUGGGGCCAUUCCACGGGUUCCGUGUCGGAGCUAACGCGUUAAGCAUCCCGCCUGGGGAGUACGGCCGCAAGGCUAAAACUCAAAGAAAUUGACGGGGGCCCGCACAAGCGGCGGAGCAUGCGGAUUAAUUCGAUGCAACGCGAAGAACCUUACCUGGGCUUGACAUGUUCCCGACAGCCCCAGAGAUGGGGCCUCCCUUCGGGGCGGGUUCACAGGUGGUGCAUGGUCGUCGUCAGCUCGUGUCGUGAGAUGUUGGGUUAGGUCCCGCAACGAGCGCAACCCUCGCCCCGUGUUGCCAGCACAUGAUGGUGGGAACUCACGGGGGACCGCCGGGGUUAACUCGGAGGAAGGUGGGGAUGACGUCAGAUCAUCAUGCCCCUUACGUCCAGGGCUUCACGCAUGCUACAAUGGCCGGUACAACGGGAUGCGACAUGGCGACAUGGAGCGGAUCCCUGAAAACCGGUCUCAGUUCGGAUUGGAGUCUGCAACCCGACUCCAUGAAGGCGGAGUCGCUAGUAAUCGCGAAUCAGCAACGUCGCGGUGAAUGCGUUCCCGGGCCU